CGGAAGUCGUUCGAAAGCCGAUCUCCCAAUGCAACCGCGAGGAACGCCGUAGGAAGAAUGGAAGGCAGGAGGAGGGUCGCGCUUUCCUCCUCAGUCCUCUUCCUCCCUUCGGCUUCUCCUGCCUCGUCCUCCAAGUUCCGCACCCUCUCGCCACAAGCAAGCAAGCGUGAUCGAAGCGAUGCCACCGCUACCACCACCGCCCUUUGGCUCGUCGCCCAGAACUCAUUGGGCGUCCUAAGAAAUGUUGUUUCAUCUGAUGAUGAACUACUUGGUGAAGGCUGCAGCAUCUCCAACUUGUAUUUGACAACACUCGAUCCAACUGCCAGGAUGCACUGAUAGAUGUGAAGGUCAUCUUUCACCCUUAGUUAAGUUCCCACUCAGAUCUUGCAGCAAGAUAGAUCCGGAAAACCCUACCAGUGCAAAACUUACACUCACAGGAAAGGUAUGAUAAAAGAUUCUGGUAAGAAAAAAGUCUCCAAAUUGUUUUCUAGUUUAGUCUGCUGCAUUUCAUUCUUUUGUUCUUUUUUUUAAAUUAUUCAGCACUAAUUUAUUCAAAUUGUUAAUUAUGUGGAUGACAAAGAAAUUUUUGUUGGAA